GCCGGGCAUGGUGGUGGGCGCCUGUAGUCCCAGCUACUUGGGAGGCUGAGACAGAAGAAUUGCUUGAACCCGGGAGGCGGAGGUUGCAGUGAGCCAAGAUCGUGCCACUGCACUCUAUCCUGGGCAACAGAGCGAGACUCUGUCUCAA
rnacentral:SRP_RNA from 2 species